rnacentral:rRNA from 1 species
AUUGAACGCUGGCGGCAUGCCUUACACAUGCAAGUCGAACGGUAACAGGUCUUCGGAUGCUGACGAGUGGCGAACGGGUGAGUAAUACAUCGGAACGUGCCCGAUCGUGGGGGAUAACGAGGCGAAAGCUUUGCUAAUACCGCAUACGAUCUACGGAUGAAAGCGGGGGAUCUUCGGACCUCGCGCGGACGGAGCGGCCGAUGGCAGAUUAGGUAGUUGGUGGGAUAAAAGCUUACCAAGCCGACGAUCUGUAGCUGGUCUGAGAGGAUGAUCAGCCACACUGGGACUGAGACACGGCCCAGACUCCUACGGGAGGCAGCAGUGGGGAAUUUUGGACAAUGGGCGAAAGCCUGAUCCAGCCAUGCCGCGUGCAGGAUGAAGGCCCUUGGGUUGUAAACUGCUUUUGUACGGAACGAAAAGCCUCUUUCUAAUAAAGAGGGGUCAUGACGGUACCGUAAGAAUAAGCACCGGCUAACUACGUG